rnacentral:rRNA from 1 species
CCUACGAGAGGCAGCAGUGAGGAAUAUUGGUCAAUGGACGAGAGUCUGACCCAGCCAAGUAGCGUGAAGGAUGACUGCCCUAUGGGUUGUAAACUUCUUUUAUAAAGGAAUAAAACGAGGCACGUGUGCCUUUUUGCAUGUACUUUAUGAAUAAGGAUCGGCUAACUCCGUGCCAGCAGCCGCGGUAAUACGGAGGAUCCGAGCGUUAUCCGGAUUUAUUGGGUUUAAAGGGAGCGUAGAUGGGUUGGUAAGUCAGUUGUGAAAGUUUGCGGCUCAACCGUAAAAUUGCAAUUGAUACUGGCAGUCUUGAGUACAGUUGAGGUAGGCAGAAUUCGUGGUGUAGCGGUGAAAUGCUUAGAUAUCACGAAGAACCCCGAUUGCGAAGGCAGCUUACUAAACUGUGACUGACAUUGAUGCUCGAAAGUGUGGGUAUCAAACAGGAUUAGAUACCCCAGUAGUC